rnacentral:rRNA from 1 species
AUUGAACGCUGGCGGCAUGCCUUACACAUGCAAGUCGAACGGCAGCACGGGGGCAACCCUGGUGGCGAGUGGCGAACGGGUGAGUAAUACAUCGGAAUGUACCCAGUAGUGGGGGAUAACUAGUCGAAAGAUUAGCUAAUACCGCAUACGCACUAUGGUGGAAAGCGGGGGAUCGCAAGACCUCGCGCUAUUGGAGCAGCCGAUGUCCGAUUAGGUAGUUGGUGGGGGUAAAAAGCCUACCAAGCCUGCGAUCGGUAACUGGUCUGAGAGGACGACCAGUCACACUGGGACUGAGACACGGCCCAGACUCCUACGGGAGGCAGCAGUGGGGAAUUUUGGACAAUGGGGGAAACCCUGAUCCAGCAAUGCCGCGUGUGUGACGAAGGCCUUCGGUUGUAAGCACUUUGCGGAGAAAGUCGCAUAGGCUAAUACCCUGUGUGGAUGACGGUACCGGAAUAAGAAGACACCGGCUAACUACGUGCCAGCAGCCGCGGU